rnacentral:rRNA from 1 species
GGACGGUACAACGAGUCGCAAGCUCGCGAGAGUAAGCUAAUCUCUUAAAGCCGUUCUCAGUUCGGACUGUAGGCUGCAACUCGCCUACACGAAGUCGGAAUCGCUAGUAAUCGCGGAUCAGCAUGCCGCGGUGAAUACGUUCCCGGGCCUUGUACACACCGCCCGUCACACCAUGGGAGUUUGUAACGCCCAAAGUCGGUGGCCUAACCUUUAUGGAGGGAGCCGCCUAAGGCGGGACAGAUGACUGGGGUGAAGUCGUAACAAGGUACC